rnacentral:rRNA from 1 species
CNGAGAGGACGAACAGCCACACUGGCACUGCGACACGGGCCAGACUCCUACGGGAGGCAGCAGUAAGGAAUAUUGCGCAAUGGGCGACAGCCUGACGCAGCGACGCCGCGUGGGGGAUGAAGGUCUUCGGAUUGUAAACCCCUUUCGGCAGGGAAGAUGGAACGGGCAACCGUUCGGACGGUACCUGCAGAAGCAGCCACGGCUAACUUCGUGCCAGCAGCCGCGGUAAUACGAAGGUGGCAAGCGUUGUUCGGAUUUACUGGGCGUACAGGGAGCGUAGGCGGUUGGGUAAGCCCUCCGUGAAAUCUCCGGGCCUAACCCGGAAAGUGCGGAGGGGACUGCUCGGCUAGAGGAUGGGAGAGGAGCGCGGAAUUCCCGGUGUAGCGGUGAAAUGCGUAGAGAUCGGGAGGAAGGCCGGUGGCGAAGGCGGCGCUCUGGAACAUUUCUGACGCUGAGGCUCGAAAGCGUGGGGAGCAAACAGGAUUAGAUACCCUGGUAGUCCACGCCUUAAACGAUGGAUACUAAGUGUCGGCGGGUUACCGCCGGUGCCG